CACCAGACUCCUACGGGAGGCAGCAGUGGGGAAUAUUGCACAAUGGGGGAAACCCUGAUGCAGCGACGCCGCGUGAGUGAAGAAGUAUUUCGGUAUGUAAAGCUCUAUCAGCAGGAAAGAAAAUGACGGUACCUGACUAAGAAGCCCCGGCUAACUACGUGCCAGCAGCCGCGGUAAUACGUAGGGGGCAAGCGUUAUCCGGAUUUACUGGGUGUAAAGGGAGCGUAGACGGUGAAGCAAGUCUGAAGUGAAAGGCGGGGGCUCAACCCCCGGACUGCUUUGGAAACUGUGCAGCUAGAGUGCAGGAGAGGCAGGCGGAAUUCCUAGUGUAGCGGUGAAAUGCGUAGAUAUUAGGAGGAACACCGGUGGCGAAGGCGGCCUGCUGGACUGUAACUGACGUUGAGGCUCGAAAGCGUGGGGAGCAAACAGGAUUAGAUACCCGAGUA
rnacentral:rRNA from 1 species